AUCAUUUUGAAGGCAGAUGUAUCAUCAUCACCAUCAUCAAGGAAAGAACAUCCACCCCUCCUCAAGAGGGUCCAUUCCUCCAGAAAGGCAUUUGUUCCUGCAAUGGGGGAAUGGUGCAGGAGAUUCUGGACUUGUACCUUCGACCAAUACAAAGCCUAGACUGAAAUGGACAAAAGACCUCCAUGAGCAGUUCAUAGAAGCAGUAAAUCAGCUUGGAGGAGCAGACAAAAUACAGGCUCAGUAAGAAUCUCCAUGGGCACUCUAAUAUUGGAACAAAAAAAAUUGUGGCAAGAGAAAGGAUGUCUGAGGCAAAUGGAACUCAUGAGUAAUUCAAGCAUUGAAACCCAAAACAAAUAAGU